GCUAAUGUAGCUCAGUUGAUAGAGCAAUUGAUUCGUAAUCAAUAGGUCGCGGGUUUGAGUCCCGCCAUUAGCU
rnacentral:tRNA from 1 species